rnacentral:lncRNA from 1 species
AAAGAAGGAAACAAAGGAAGAACAAACCCUAGGUGGAGAAUUUCAAAAGAAAAAGUGUGAAAAAUCAAGGAAAACAAGUGAAAAAGGUAAGAUUUUUCAAUUUAAACUUGAAAUCUAUUUUCCUUAAGCAUUUCUCCUUAUUUUCCAUGGUUAAAUUGCAUGUUUUCAUGAUGAAUUCAUGGCUGGUCAAAAUGGGUAUGGCGAGAGAAAGAUGUUGGAUUGAAUUGAUUUUAAGAUAUGUUAGUGUUUUUAAUUAGUUUAGCAUAUUUAGAAACAAAACAACAAGAAAAGAAUCCAUUUUCCCCAUGAAUCUUCGUUGGUCGAAUCUUCCUUGAUGUGUGUGGGUGAUGGAUUGUUAUUAUUUCAAGAGAAAUGACUUAGAAAAUUGUCACGACCCGGUACUCCCCUCGAGCCCGUGACAAUCGCCGCGGUGUCCCGGUAGACACUUAUUGCCCGGAAUGUCAACCCGAAAUCCCGCAAGGCUUUACUAUCAGUUUCUUUGUUCCCUUGUGAGCAACCAUUGUCAAAUAUCGUGUUCUAAAAUAUUUUAAGCUGUUUCCAACUUUAAACAAAUAAAAUAUUAAUUUUUCGUCUCACAAGGGUAUUUUGGUCAUUUUUCUCAAAAAUUUUAAAACUGGCUAAAACGUAAUAUACAAGUACAAAACACACAAUUCAUAUUCAAAAUGAGUUUAAAAGUCUAAAAUCUUCAUUUAAAACGAAAUUAUGGUUAUUUGAAUAUAAUAAGAAAAUAAAAGAAAUAUUAAGUAAAAUAUUCUAUUUUCUUAUAAAACAAUAUUUAUAGAGUUAUACGUGAAUAAUUUUUAUAGCGUAAAAGCUAAAUAAAUUUAUACAUACUUAAAUACAGUAAGCCAAAAUAUUUAAUUUAAUUUACAAUAACAAGAGUGCCCCCGAAUAAACAAAAGUAAAGAGGACUGUGAACCUACGGUUUGGAAAAUGCAGAUCCCACUGUAGUCCUCGAUGAGAUCAGCUAUCUACAGUCUAUACUGAACCUGAAAUGGGUGGAAAGGAGGGUGGUGAGAUUAUAAAAUCCCAAUGAGUAAACAAACAUCAUCAUAAACAUCUAGAGUUGAGUACAUGGAGACAAUAAAGUAAAUCAUCAUAAACUGGGUUAUAGCAUUAGAACACAUUUUGUUCAAAACACGUAAAGAGGCUUAUGAAUCUCAUAAAAAUCUAGGCUUGUGCCAUAAAUCCAUUCUCGGGGACACCUUGGCCGAGGCAUCCUACCGAGACCGCCAAGGCUAUUAAAAUUCACAUUUCACAUAAAUCAUGUUUUUGUUUUGAAAACAUAGCCGUUCCUUGGCGUUGGCUGAGUUCCCCCUCACGUGGUGGUUUAGCGUGAAGUGAACCCUAAACUUUACCCCAGGAGAUACCCUACGCGCCUCUCCGUUCGAGGUAAGAAUAUAAUGGGGUUUACCGUGCCCCUCUAAAAGGCUGGUCCACAGAAACCCCCUACUGCAGUGAUUAAUUAAUAUAUAAUCCACCAUAUAAUAAAACUCAAUAACAUGAUAUGGCAAUUUUGUAAUUCGUAGUUUUUCAAGGUAACCAAACAAUUCGCAUUUCAAUACAAUUGCCAACUAGCCAAUCAUGCUCGAUUUAUCAUAAGCCAGUUAAUUUAAACAAUCAAAUUGCCACAAUUAACAGUCUCCGUGUACUCUAUUUUUCAAAAUCACUAUUAAUUUCAAAACAAUUUAUAAUUUAAUUUCAUUGAAACUCAUUUAUUCAUAAAACAUGAAAAUUUAUCUUUUUAAAUUCCUUUUUCCAUAGAAUUCAUGAAAGCAUCUAAAAACCACCCUAGAUAAUUAAAAUGACAGUAAGUUUACUCACAAUGUCUAGAAUGCAGACUUUCGAAGCACUCUGUCUACUGGUCCUCGGAUGCAAUUUCCUUGCCUUUAUCGGAGGACUCACCACCUUGACACAGUACAAAAUCGAGAGUUUCACCAAGUUGGUACUAAAUCAAAAUUAAACUAAUUUAGACUACCAAUGCAUGAUAUGGAAUGCAAAAAUGCACUGGUAACUAUCUAAACCCGGUAUUGGCCUAAUUCGUCUUAUCACCCGAUUAAAUUCCUAACGGGUCCGUUUAAACUCCAAUUUAAUUCUUUUCAGUUUCUAUACCUCAAUUGCACCCAAAUUAACUUAAUGUCCCUCAGUGUGGUGCAAAUUAUCAGUCCCAACAGCAAAUUACGAAAAUACCCCUAGUGGGUAAAAAUUCGUAUUUUUGCUCCGAAAAUUCCCAUUAUUUUUCUAGGCUCAUAAUUCAUUAUUCCUUAACCAAUUCUCCUAGAAUAAAAUCAAACUCAUCCUCACUCACUACAUGGUAAAUUCAGCCAUUAAUGGUUGGGGGAGAAAAUAAAUUCUUUUCUUGUUGUUUUGUUUCUAAAUAUGCUAAACUAACUAAAAACACUAACAUAAAUUAAAAUCAAAUAAAUCCAACAACUUUCUCUCUCCUAACCCAUUUUUUCAGAAUUGAAUUCAUCAUGAAAACAUGUAAUUUAAUCAUGGAAAAUAAAGAGAAAUGCUUGGGAAUAAGAAAACUCAAGCUUAAUAGAAAAAACUCACCUUUUUCACUUAAUUUCCUUGAAAAUUCACACUUUUUCUUUGAUUUUCUCUCUCUAGGGUUUUGUUUUUGUUUUCUCUCUCUUCUUGCUGGUUUGGCCGGCCAUGGGGUGGAAGAUGGGCUGAUUUUGUGCCUUUUAAAAAGGAAAAUAAUAAAUUAAUAAAGGCAUGACACAUGGCAUCAUGUCAUUGGCCCGUUUUUAAAAUUUUAAAAAUUUAAACAUUUUAUCUCCACCACAUGUUUAGUCAAGGGUCAAAGAUGAAGAAAAGGAAGACCAUGUGCUGGAAAAAAUAUCCUGGUGGUGGAAAAUUACAAUUUUGCCCCUGAGGUGGCAAAAUUACCAUUUUACCCCUAUACUCCAAAUUAUACCGAAAUUAAAAUUUUUCACUUCUAAACCUCAAAUCAUACUUCAAUAAGUCAAAUUAUACUCUAAUAAGUCAAAUGGGGUCAAAAAAAUCUUUUCUAAAAUUCCCAUUUUGUCCCCAGGUGGCAAAUGACCAUUUUGCCCCUAGUUAGUGAAAAUUCCGAUUUGACUCCAAAUUGAUCCUCAAACUCCAAAUUACCAUUUUAAGUCAUCCAUGAACUGUGAAACUCUUAAUCUCACCUUAAAAUUCCUAUUUGAUCUAGUUCGAGGAUUAAAUAAACUUUGUUGUACCUCUAGGUACAAUACCGACUUUUGUAAAUUUUUCGGGACUCUCCUAGCAUGCAAUCAUGCUAUCAUCACAUGUAUGUCAUGAAUAGUAUUUUAUAAGGUCGGACUUUACAAAAAUGAUGAAUAAUGGUGAGAAAAAUUAAGUAGGAAAAAUCACAGUGUUAGUGCACUGUAAUGGCCAAAUUUUUCCAUGAAGAAAUGGGAGGGUUUUGAUGCUGAAAUUGGUGUUAUUUGAAUAAUGUUUGAUGAAUUGAGGUAUUAGAAAAGAAAUGGAGUAAUUUGGGAUUAAAUUGGACGUGUUAAUAAUUAAUCGGGUGAUAAGACGAAUUUGGCCGGAACCGAAAUUUAGAUGGUUACUCGUGCAUUUUGCAUUCCAUAUCAUGCAUUAGUAGUCUAAAUUAGUUUAAUUUUGAUUUAGUACCAAUGUAAUGAGUUUCUCGAUUUUGUACUGUGUCAAGGUGGUGAGUCCUCCUAUAAAGGCAAAGAAAUUGCACCCGAGGACCAGUAGUCUGAGUACUUCAGAAAUCUGCACUCUAGACAUUGUGAGUAAACUUACCGUCAUUUUAAUUAUCUAGAGUGGUUUGUAAAUGAUUUCGUAUAUUCUAUGGAAAAAGGGAUUUAAAAAGGUAAAUUUUCAUGUUUUAUGAAUAAAUGUGUUUCAAUGAAAUUAAUUUAUAAAUUGUUUUAAAAUUAAUAAUGAUGUUGAAAAAUAGAGUACACGGAGACUGUUAAUUGUUGCAAUUCGAUUGUUUAAAUUGAUUGGCUUAUGAUAAAUCGGGCAUGAUUGGCUGGUUGGUAAUUGUAUUGAAAUACAGAUUGUUUGUUUACCUUGAAAGGCUGUGAAUUACAAUCAUUGCCAUAUCAUGUUAUUGAAUUUUAUUGAUUGGUGGGAUAAUUAUUAGCUUACCGCAGUUGGCGGGUUCCGUGGACCAGCUUGUGAGAGGGGCACGGUAACCUCGUUUUUAUGUGCUCACCUCGGUUGUAGAGGCGCAUAGGGUAGCUCCUAAGGUGAUAUUUGGGUUCACUUCAUGCUGAACCACCACGUGAUGGUGAACUCAGCCAACGCCAAGAACGGCUGUGAUGUCCAACGAAAAACGUGUUUUAUGCGAAAUGUGAAUUUUUAACAGCCUUAGUGGUCUCGAUAGAAUGCUCGGCAAGGUGUCCCCGAGGAUGGAUUUAUGGCACAAGCCUAGUUUUUAUGAGAUUUAUAACCCUCGUUACGUAUUUUGAAUGAAAUGUGUUCUAAUGUUAUGACCUGGUUUACGAUGAUUUACUUUAUCAUCUCCAUGUACUCAACUCUAGAUGUUUAUGAUGAUGUCUGUUUACUCACUGAGAUUUUAUAAUCUCACCACCCUUCUUUCCAUCCAUUUCAGGCUCAGAUUAGACUGUAGAUAGUUGAUCUCAUCGAGGACUACUGUGGGAUUUGCAUUCUCUAAACUGUAGGUUCACAGUCCUCUUUACUUUUGGUUAUCCGGGGGCCCACUGGUUAUUAUAAAUUAAAUUAAAUACUCUGGCUUAUUGUAUUAUAGCAUGUAUGAAUUUCUUUUGCUU